GACGAACCGUGCGAACGUUGUUCGGAAUCACUGGGCUUAAAGGGCGCGUAGGCGGACUGCCAAGUCCGGGGUGAAAUCCUCCGGCUUAACCGGAGAAUUGCCUGGGAUACUGGCGGUCUUGAGGGAGGUAGGGGCACGCGGAACUUCCGGGUGGAGCGGUGAAAUGCGUUGAUAUCGGAAGGAACGCCGGUGGCGAAAGCGGCGUGCUGGCCCUCUUCUGACGCUGAGGCGCGAAAGCCAGGGGGAGCGAACGGG
rnacentral:rRNA from 1 species